AUGCCUUCAAUCAUAUUCCUCGCACCUCUGCUUCAUCAUCUUGCAACAACAACUUUUACUACAUCCUCGCAUCCUCAAUCUGCAUCUUCGAGCAUCAUCACCAUCAUCGAUCCCAUACUUCUCGGAGUAACUUCUCUGCAAUCUUCAACCUUCAUCGCUUCAAUUCUCCAUUGCAAGAAUCACAACAACAUUUCAAUUCAGAUCGAGGCAAAAACAAAAGCAAAUCGCGAAAAUCGCAGAAGAACGAGAAGGAGAAAAGCUUAG